GUUGUUGUUGUCGUUGUUCUUGUUCUUGUUGUCGACGUCAUCAUCGUCGUCUUGGUUGUUGUCGUCACUGUCGUCGUUGUCGUCGUCAUCGUUGUUGUUGUUGUUGUUGUUGUUGUUGUUGGUUUUGUUGUUGUCGUAGUUGUUGUUAUUUGUUGUUGUUGUUCUUGUUGUUGUUGUUGUUGUUGUUGUUGUCGUCGUCGUCGUCUUCGUCGUCAUUGUUGUUGUUCUUGUUGUCGUCGUCAUUGUUUUCACUGUUGUCAUAUUUCUCUCUAUUGUCGUCCACUUUGUUGUUGUCAUUAUUGUCUUGUUCUUGUCGUUGUCAUUGUUGUCAUCGUUGUUGUUUUUGUUGUUUUUGUUAUUGUUGUCGUUGUUGUCAUUCUUGUCUCUGUUGUUGUCAGUGUUGUCAUUGUUCUCGUCAUUAUUGUUGUUGCCGUCGUCGUUGUCAUCGUCGUUGUUGUUGUUGUUGUUGUUGUUGUUGUUGUUGUUGUUGUUGUUGUCGUUGUUGUCGUUGUUCUCGAUGUUGUCAUUAUUGUUGUUGUUGUUAUCGUUGUUGUCGUUGUUCUUGUUAUUCCCUUCGUCG
rnacentral:lncRNA from 1 species